rnacentral:rRNA from 1 species
AGAACGAACGCUGGCGGCAUGCCUAACACAUGCAAGUCGAACGAGACCUUCGGGUCUAGUGGCGCACGGGUGCGUAACGCGUGGGAAUCUGCCCUUAGGUUCGGAAUAACUCAGAGAAAUUUGAGCUAAUACCGGAUGAUGACGUAAGUCCAAAGAUUUAUCGCCUAGGGAUGAGCCCGCGUAAGAUUAGGUAGUUGGUGGGGUAAAGGCCUACCAAGCCGACGAUCUUUAGCUGGUCUGAGAGGAUGAUCAGCCACACUGGGACUGAGACACGGCCCAGACUCCUACGGGAGGCAGCAGUGGGGAAUAUUGGACAAUGGGCGAAAGCCUGAUCCAGCAAUGCCGCGUGAGUGAUGAAGGCCUUAGGGUUGUAAAGCUCUUUUACCCGGGAUGAUAAUGACAGUACCGGGAGAAUAAGCCCCGGCUAACUCCGUGCCAGCAGCCGC